rnacentral:rRNA from 2 species
AACCCAGUGCAAUUCGUUGCACUAUCGUUAACUGAAUACAUAGGUUAACGAGGCGAACCGGGGGAACUGAAACAUCUAAGUACCCCGAGGAAAAGAAAUCAACCGAGAUUCCCCCAGUAGCGGCGAGCGAACGGGGAGCAGCCCAGAGUCUGAAUCAGCUUGUGUGUUAGUGGAACGGUCUGGAAAGUCCGACGGUACAGGGUGAUAGUCCCGUACACCAAAAUGCACAGGUUGUGAACUCGAAGAGUAGGGCGGGACACGUGGUAUCCUGUCUGAAUAUGGGGGGACCAUCCUCCAAGGCUAAAUACUCCUGACUGACCGAUAGUGAACCAGUACCGUGAGGGAAAGGCGAAAAGAACCCCGGCGAGGGGAGUGAAAAAGAACCUGAAACCGUGUACGUACAAGCAGUGGGAGCACCUUCGGGUGUGACUGCGUACCUUUUGUAUAAUGGGUCAGCGACUUAUAUUCUGUAGCAAGGUUAACCGUAUAGGGGAGCCGCAGGGAAACCGAGUCUUAACUGGGCGUUAAGUUGCAGGGUAUAGACCCGAAACCCGGUGAUCUAGCCAUGGGCAGGUUGAAGGUUGGGUAACACUAACUGGAGGACCGAACCGACUAAUGUUGAAAAAUUAGCGGAUGACUUGUGGCUGGGGGUGAAAGGCCAAUCAAACCGGGAGAUAGCUGGUUCUCCCCGAAAGCUAUUUAGGUAGCGCCUCGUGAAUUCAUCUUCGGGGGUAGAGCACUGUUUCGGCUAGGGGGUCAUCCCGACUUACCAACCCGAUGCAAACUACGAAUACCGAAGAAUGUUAUCACGGGAGACACACGGCGGGUGCUAACGUCCGUCGUGAAGAGGGAAACAACCCAGACCGCCAGCUAAGGUCCCAAAGUCAUGGUUAAGUGGGAAACGAUGUGGGAAGGCACAGACAGCCAGGAUGUUGGCUUAGAAGCAGCCAUCAUUUAAAGAAAGCGUAAUAGCUCACUGGUCGAGUCGGCCUGCGCGGAAGAUGUAACGGGGCUAAACCAUGCACCGAAGCUGCGGCAGCGACACUAUGUGUUGUUGGGUAGGGGAGCG